rnacentral:lncRNA from 1 species
GAAACCAGGCCGUCUAAGAACAUCCAAAUGUAUUGACUCAAAGCAUCUAUUUCUCAUUUUCCCCCUUUGAACCCACCACACAUAAAAGCCCUGAUUGACAAGGAAGAGCAGAAGCCCACACCUCCUGACCUGCAUGCAUUCCAUAGUUCAGUCUGGUGUCAGCAUCUACUGUCCAGUGGCUUCCUGCUCUGCACCAGGCGCCUGCCCUCUGCUCACAUUCCAGCACCUUCUCUGCCUGAGUGUCAAGCAAGAGGAGCUGGCUUCAGUGGCUCCUGAGAAUAAACUCAGGUUUAACCAACUUGAUACCUGUUUUUAUUGUGGCAACCUGUAACCUAGAUGUGUCUCUAUAAAG